rnacentral:tRNA from 1 species
AUUUAUAUAAUAUAAUUUAGUAUAUUUAACUUCCAAUUAAAUAGUUUAAUUAAUUUUAAUUUAAAUA